UGCAAUAGUGUGGGGAUUUUUAUGUGUGUCUAUGGUUGCCUAUUUAUUAUUGCAAUUACAUAUCCAAUGAGUAAAUAAUGCAAUAAUACAAC
rnacentral:antisense_RNA from 1 species